rnacentral:tRNA from 1 species
GGAGGGUUCGCCUAGUGGCCGAUGGCGCUGAUCUUGAAACCGGUAGGGCAGCGACAUCUUCGUGGGUUCGAAUCCCACACCCUCCG